GACGAACGCUGGCGGCGUGCUUAACACAUGCAAGUCGAACGAUGAAGCUGGAGCUUGCUCCGGUGGAUUAGUGGCGAACGGGUGAGUAACACGUGAGCAAUCUGCCCUUCACUCUGGGAUAACUGCGGGAAACUGUAGCUAAUACCGGAUACGAGGCUUGGAGGCAUCUCCAGGUCUGGAAAGAAUUUCGGUGAAGGAUGAGCUCGCGGCCUAUCAGCUUGUUGGUGAGGUAAUGGCUCACCAAGACGACGACGGGUAGCCGGCCUGAGAGGGUGACCGGCCACACUGGGACUGGGACACGGCCCAGACUCCUACGGGAGGCAGCAGUGGGGAAUAUUGCACAAUGGGCGAAAGCCUGAUGCAGCAACGCCGCGUGAGGGAUGAAGGCCUUCGGGUUGUAAACCUCUUUUAGCAGGGAAGAAGCGAAAGUGACGGUACCUGCAGAAAAAGCACCGGCUAACUACGUGCCAGCCGCCGCGGUAA
rnacentral:rRNA from 1 species